GACGAACGCUGGCGGCGUGCUUAACACAUGCAAGUCGAACGGUGAUGCUCCAGCUUGCUGGAGUGGAUCAGUGGCGAACGGGUGAGUAACACGUGAGCAACCUGCCCCAGACUCUGGAAUAAGCGCUGGAAACGGCGUCUAAUACUGGAUACGAAACUGGCCCGCAUGGGCAUGGUUUGGAAAGUUUUUCGGUUUGGGAUGGGCUCGCGGCCUAUCAGCUUGUUGGUGAGGUAAUGGCUCACCAAGGCGACGACGGGUAGCCGGCCUGAGAGGGCGACCGGCCACACUGGGACUGAGACACGGCCCAGACUCCUACGGGAGGCAGCAGUGGGGAAUAUUGCACAAUGGGCGAAAGCCUGAUGCAGCGACGCCGCGUGAGGGGUGACGGCCUUCGGGUUGUAAACCUCUUUCAGCAGGGAAGAAGCGAAAGUGACGGUACCUGCAGAAGAAGCACCGGCUAACUACGUG
rnacentral:rRNA from 1 species